rnacentral:tRNA from 1 species
GUGUAGCUCAAUAGUAAAGUGUGUGGUUGGCAUGCACAAGGUCCUGGGUUCUAUCCCCAGUACACA